CGGAAGAGAACGAGGACCCUAAAAAACUAAUCCGCAGUUUCCCAUAACAAAAAAAUGAACCCUCCCUUUAAAGUCCAUCGUCUUCUUCAGCAGAUGCCUGAAAUGAGUUGAAAUACACAAGAUACACAUGAGACCAAAUAUAGAUUCUAAGACCUAAAAAUUAGAGGCUACAACCAAGAAGACCGAAAAAGCUUCUUCAGUGCUUCCUCUAGAGAUAAGGCUGUCGUGAACUUAGAGUUGUAACGCAACAAACUUGCUGCGAAAUAGACCCAGAAACGACCCUGAAGCAGUAGCUAAAUCGCUGCUAAUUCCAUCACGACACAGUACCAAAAUAUUACCAAAAUUCCAGCUGAACAAUCCUCGAAACACAAGCUUUAAGUCGAGUUCGAGGUUGCGGACGAGGUCAAGUUUCCGGCGAGUUCUCUAUUCGCUUCGACCUUUGUAUUCAAGAACCUUUUCCAUAUAAAAAAGGUUUGUUUCCAUCUUCGUACUCUCAUAUGUAAAAGAUCUGUUUUCUUAAUUUUCAUUGUUCUUCCAUCUUGUUACAGCACCUUGGAGAUGUUUGGAUUUUUUUUUCUUUAUUUUAUUGUCUUUUCUUAUUGAUUUUAUUAUCUUGUUACAGUAGCUUUCAUCCUUCAUCUUCUUAUCCUUGAAGUAAAGACAAUUUCAUGUUUUUCUUUAUUUUAUGCUCUUGUUAUGGUAGCUUUUGUAAUACGUAUUAGUUUAGAAGCCAAACUUUAUAUGUUUCUUUCAAAAUGUAGACUCACUUAAAUUGGACCUAAUUGUAUAAUUGAUUCAACGAUUAACUUAAUUAAAGAAAAUUAUGUCUCUGAAUUUGUAUAACUAUCUACGUUCUUGAAUGAGUAUAUUAAUUGUUAGAUUAAUUAAGUUGGCAAGUUAGUGUGGAAUUUGUGAAAAUGAACAUCCUUAGAAAUGUUUUUUUUAGGCACACACUUAAUCUAUCUAUUGCGAUUGUGUACACGUUCGCGUGACAUAAUUACGAUUUUUAAAAAUAAAUUGGGGUAUGCUUUCGCGCAACUUCGACUAAUUUUUCUUAAUAAUAAUAAAGCAUUACUAAUUGUGGACACGUUCGCGUGACAUGAUUUCUAACGCACCAAAUAAAUGGGUACACGUGCGCGUGACCUGUUUCAAUAUAAUCUUCUUAAUUAAAAAGCGGUAAAAAGUAAAUGCACAGAGGUUCUAAAAUGAGUAAUUAGACAAUUUAAUAAGCCAAGUAUUAUCAAAGCGACCGUGCUAGAACCACGAACUCGGGAGUGCCUAACACCUUCUUCCAGGUUAACAGAAUUCCUUACCCGGAUUUCUGGUUCGCGGACUGUUAAACAGAGUCAAUCUUUUCUCGAUUCGAGAUUCUAAACCGGUGACUUGGGACACCAUAAAUCUCCCAGGUGGCGACUCUGAAUUUCAAUAAUUAACCCCAUUUCGAUUAUCCUUUAAUUGGAAAAACUCCCUUGUAUUUAUACCCUUUACGGGUUGUAAGUAAAAAAGGAGGUGUGACAAUCAUUAGUUCCCUAUGGGAUUCGAAUCCGAACUCUUGAAUCAGCUUAUAUUUUCAGCGACUGCUUAGUCCUUUUUAUAAAGCAUAGUUGGACAUGAUCAAAUUUUGGCGCUGUCGCCGGGGAACUAACGGUGUUAUUCGUUACAACUUGAAAGAAUUGCUAGAAUUUUUAGUUUAGAUCAAUUUUCUGUGGUGCUAAAAAUAUUUUCACUGAAAUUUUCACGUUUGAAUUCUUCUGUGCCUCAGGUGCACGCCUAGAAAUUCCUUGAGAACUGGUGAACUAUUUAAAGAUCUCUCAGAUCCCGAGAAAGCAUUUAGUACAUUGAAUCGGGCUAAGAAGAAGGGUAAACAGCUAAACAGAAUGAACAAAUCAAAAAUUAAAAUGGGUGACGUCGAGAACAUCAAUGGGAACAAUAUAAAUAAUCAAGUUGACACAAACAUCAGAGUGGUAGCACCCCUAGUGCCGGAGGCUGUUCUAUAUGAUUGGGCACAACCAACUACUGACAAUAUGGCAACUGCAAUUGCAGUCCCUCUGAUACAAGAUGAGACUUUUCAAAUUACAAACAACAUGUUGCACUUGCUGCAAAACAAAGGGUUGUUCUUCGGGUUUUACAUCGAAGACCUACAUCAACAUCUCAAGAAUUUCCUGUCAAUUUGUGUCACUCAAAGACAACCGAAUAUGACACCCGAAGCAAUCAGAUUGUUUAUUGUUUCCAUUCUCAGUGCCUGGGGAGGCUCAAAUGUGGAUGAAUUUGCUCCCAAUAAUAUCUAUUGCUACAUGGGAGGAACUAGUCAAGCACUUCUUAAACAAGUUUUAUCCACCUAAUAAGACAGCAAGGCGAAUUGAUGUGAUAUUGCAGUUCAUGCAGAAACUAACUGAAACUUUGCAAGAAACUUGGGAAUAGUUUAAGGACAUAUUGGCAAAGUGUCCACACCAUGUCAUCUCGGAUCAGAUGCUAGGACAGAGAUUCUAUAUAUGUUAGGCUGACAGCUUGAAGGCCAAUGUAGAUACUUCAGCCGAGGGUGCAUUCUUGAGCAAAUUAUUCAUUGAGUGUAAGAUUCUUCUUGACAAGAUGGCUUAAAAUCCAAGCUGGAUGAUGAAUACAACACUCACUUUAAUAGUGCAUUUUGUUUCUCUUGACCCAAAAAAUACAAAUGCAGAAAACAUAGCCACUCUCAUGACCCAGAUGAGCUUGUUGACAAAGAAAUUUGAUGCGAUGGGCACGAAACAAGUUCAUAUUAUUGACACAACAAAUGGAGACCUAUGCACUCCCUGCAUAAAUCAAUCGUAUGUUUGCUCAUGGAGUGGAGAGUAACUAGGGCUUCAGAGAAGUCAUGAAUUUUAUAAAUAAUUUUGGGGGUUAAAAGCAUGGUGGACAGUAAUGGGGACCUUAAAAUCAGCAGUACAGACUAACCCAACAACAGUACAAUAGCAAUCCUGGGGGAGAACGACCACAAGUCCAAGUUGUGCCCUAUCAAAGGAAGCAGGGUUACAAUCAACAACCCCAAUAACAGUUGGCUUACCAACAGCCUCAUCAACAGUAGGUGACCAGACAAGACGACAGCUAUAUAAUAGAAAUCAAGGGCAUGCUGCAACAAAUCAUUGGGACAAAUAGAAGGAUGCAAGAAAAGUUAGUCGCACAUGAUUCGACUAUUAAAGGUGUUGAAACUUAGUUAGGCAUGUUGUCCAUGGAUUUAAAUAAUCGCCCACAAGAAACGUUGCCUGCAGACACAAACAUUAAUCCAAAAGAGCAGAACCUGAAUCUGUUAAUGGUAGUGAGUCUUAAGAAUGGAAGGGAUUUGGACAGAAAGCAAGAAUUUGCUAAAUCUAAUAAAUACAUAGAGCCACUUACUCCAGUGCCAUUCGACAUCGAUGAGUCGACGGAGCUCAAAGAGGUUGUAAUUGAACAAGCGCAAGUUGACAAAGGCAAAGAGAAGAAAAUUGAACAACUCCAGAAUAGGUAGUGGAAAAGACACAAAGUCAUGGGCAAAAGCUAAUUCCAUCACCAUUCCCUCAAAGUUUGGCAAAGCAAAAGAAAGAUGAUCAAUAUAGGAAAUUCAUGGAAAUGCUUUAACAAAUUCAAUUAAAUAUUCCACUGAUGGAUACUUUGAGGGAAAUGCCAGGCUAUGCGAAAAUGAUGAAGGAUUUGAUAUCUUAAUAGUUUGAAUUCCAGGACCUAUCUACUGUAACUCUGGCACAAACUUGUAUUGUGGUAGUGACAAGACCUAUGACUCAAAAUGUGUUUAAUCCCGAUAGUUUCACUAUCCCAUGUACAAUUGGAAGUUAUGCUUUUACUAAAGCAUUUUGCGACUUGGGAGCCAGUAUUAACUUGAUGCCCUUAGCAAUCUACACAAAGUUAGCCAUUGGCAGAGCUAGGCCAACCUCAAUGUUGUUGUAACUGGCUAAUCGCACAGUGAAAAAGCCAACAUGAAUCCUGGAUGAUGUGAUCGUCCAAGUGGGGAAGUUUGUAUUUCCUGCUGAUUUUGUGAUUCUUGAUUUCUAGGUUGACGAAGAAAUACUCAUAAUUUUGGGAAGGCCGUUUUUAGCCACUAGAAGAGCAUUGGUUAAUUGUGAGACUAGAGAGUUGAAAAUGAGGUUGAAUAAAGAAGAAAUAAUAUUCAAUGUUCAACAGUUUAUGAGGAGGCCCAAUAAAUUUGCAAAUUGUUCGCUAGUGGAGGCCGUUGAUGUGAUACUACAAGAGGUGGAUGAGACUCUUAAUGUUAGAGACCCAUCAAAAAAUUGUUUGAUAAAUUUGAACGAAGUGGAUAAUGAAAAUUUUGCAAAGUGGAUCAUGGCUCUCAAAAGGCAAGGGUUCUGGAAAAGGAAACCUCAAUUUGAGCUACUAUACUUAGAAGAAAGAUAAACAUCACCUGCAAAGCUACCGAUAGUAGAACCACCAUAGUUAGACCUUAAACCGCUUCCAACUCGCCUCGGGUAUGCUUUCUUAGGGCCUAACUCUAUUUUACCUAUUAUAAUCUCAUCUAGUUUGUUAGCUGUACAGGUAGAACACAUCCUACAGGUGUUACAAGAAUGUAAGACUGCUAUUGGAUGGGCCAAACAAGACAUUAAGGGUAUCAGCCCGGCCUUUUUCAUGCACAAGAUUCUCUUGGAAGAGGGGCACAAACCUUCAAGGGAACAUCAAAGAAGGUUGAACCCUAAUAUGAAGGAAAUGGUAAAGAAGGAAGUGAUUAAGUGGUUGGAUGCGGGCAUUAUCUUCCUAAUUUCGGAUAAAGUCUGGGUAAGCCCAGUCCAAUAUGAUCCGAAGAAAGGUGGAUUGACUAUUUUAUAGAAUGAGAAUAAUGAGUUGAUCUAUACUCGUACAGUCACGGGUUGGAGAAUUUGCAUGGAUUACAGAAUAUUGAACAUGGCCACUCGGAAAGACUAUUUUCCCCUUCCAUUCAUUGACCAAAUAUUGGAUAGGUUGGCAGGGAGGUCUCACUUUUGCUUUUUGGAUGGAUAUUCGGGGUAAAAUCAGAUCACAAUAGCCCUUGAGGAUAGAGAGAAAAUGUCAUUUACUUGUCUGUAUGGCAUUUUUUCCUUUAAGAGAAUGUCGUUUGGCCUAUGCAAUGCACCGACCACUUUCCAGAGGUGUAUGUUUGUCAUUUUCACUGAUAUGGUUGAAGAUAUUAUGGAAGUCUUUAUGGAUGAUUUUUCAGUUGUGGGGAAUUCAUUCGAUGACUAUCUUCACAAUUUGAGAAGAGUGUUGAAAAGUUGUGUGUGGAGACAAACCUGGUGCUGAACUAGGAGAAGUGCCAUUUUAUAGUACAAGAAGGUAUAGUUACAUCGAGUGUCAAUUAAAGGUAUUGAGGUUGACCAUUCUAAGGUUGACAUGAUAGAGAAGCUGCCACCAUCCACUUUAGUCAAGGCAGUAAGAUGUUUCCUUGGGCACACCGGUUUCUACAGGCGAUUUAUAAACGAUUUCUCUAAAAUAGCUAAUCCCUUAUGCAAACUGCUUGAAAAGGAUCACCCCUUUGUGUUUUCUGAUGAUUGCAAGUUAGCAUUUGAGGAGCAGAAGAAGAGACUGGUGACUGCACCAAUCAUCAUAGCACCCGACUGGGAGCAUCUAUUUGAGCUCAUAUGUGAUGCGAGUGACUUAGCUAUAGGAGCAGGUUUGGGUAGUAAAAGGACAAAAUGGUGCAUCAAAUUUACUAUACAAGGAAAAUGCUAAACGGUGCACAACUCAGUUAUACCGUGACUGAGAAAGAGAUGUUGGCUGUGGUGUUUGCAUUCGACAAAUUUAGGUUUUAUUUGAUUGGUUCAAAAGUGAUUAUUUAUACGGACCAUGCAAUACUUAGGUACUUGAUAGCAAAGAAGGAGUCAAAGUCUCACUUGAUCUGGUAGGUUUUUUUGCUACAAGAAUUCGAUUUGGAGAUCCACGAUAGGAAAGGAAAGGAGAACCAAGUGGCAGACUACCUCUCAAGGUUGGAGGGAGCUGAAAAAAAAGUAGAGAUUGAAGAUAUAACAGAGAUAUUCCCGGAUAUAAAAAGAAAGUAGAGGUUGAAGAUAUAAUAGAUACAUUCCCGGAUGAACAAUUACUAGCAGUGGCAAUGAAGGAGACGCCUUGGUAUGCUGAUAUUGCUAACUAUUUGGCAAGCGGUAUUGUACCUUAUGAACUCUCUUCGAUUCAAAAGAAAAAGUUCUUUCGUGGUUGUCGGUCUUAUUACUGGAAUGAACCUUUACUUUUUAAAAUAUAUGUGGAUAACAUGAUCCGGAGGUGUAUCCCCGAGAAAGAUCAAUCUUUUGUUUUGCAGGCUUGCAACGCUUCACCAUAUGGUAGGCACUUUGGAGGAAUUCAGAUAGCAACGAAGGUGUUGGAUUUGGGUUUGUAUUGGCCAUCUCUAUACAAGGAUGCCCAUGCCUGUGUGAAAAUUUGUGAUGAGUGACAAUGAACCAGCAAUAUAUCUCGUUGUCAUGAGAUGUCAAUGACUACCAUUCAAGAGGUGGAAGUGUUUGACGUGUGGGGGAUUGAUUUUAUGGGACCAUUUGUCAGCUCGUAUGGUAACAAGUACAUAUUCGUAGCAGUUGACUAUGUUUCCAAACGGGUUGAAGCAUUGGCUCUUCCAAUAAAUGAUGCCAAGAGAGUGAUAGAAUUUCUAAGAAAAAAUAUUUUCACACGGUUUGUCACUUCGAGAGAUAUAAUCAGUGAUGAUUGAACCCAUUUCUACAAUAUAGCGUUCGUAAGGCUGUUAGAAAAGUAUGUAGUUUUCCAUAAGGUUGCCACACCUUACCACCCGCAAACGAGCGGGCAAGUGGAAGUGUCCAACAGGGAAAUCAAAAUUGUCCUAACCAAGAAACUAAAUGCAACUCGGACUGAUUCGGCAAGGAAGUUGGAUGAUGUGUUAUGGUCUUACAUCACAACACUUAAAACUCCAAUUGGUAUGUCUCUGUACAAGUUGGUAUUUGGAAAAGCAUGCAAUCUUCCGGUGGAGCUCGAGCAUAAAGCCUUAUGGGCACUGUAGCAGUUGAAUUUGGAUAUGGAAACAAUAGGCACAAGUAGAGUUACAGAGUUACAUGAACUUGAGGAGUUUCGGUUCCAGGCAUUCGAGAGUACGAGAUUGUAUAAAGAAAGGAUGAAGAUACAUGAUAAGCACGUUCUAGAUAGGAGCUUCAAACCCAGAGAUCUAGUGUUGUUAUACAACUCAAGAUUGAGAUUAUUUCUGGGUAAGCUGAAAUCUAGAUUGUCGGGACCAUUUAGAGUUGUGCAAGUGUUCCCAAGUGGAGUUAUAGAAAUUGUGGGACAAAGCCGAAUACGUAAUCUAAGCGUACCUCGCAUUGCUUAUCACAAAGGUACAGGGCCCCAUACCCCGCCCUGUGCUAUUUUUUCAUUGCCCCACCCGAUGGCUCGCAGGGUCUAGUGCGCAGCUAUUAGCGCCUGUUGCUGCCUCGUGAAGCUUGGACAUCGCCCCUCAAACCGCCUGGCUAUGUCCAGCGCGGUAACUUUAUCGCGCUUGAUGGAGUCUCGCAUGAAAUUCUUGACGCUCCUCACGUCGCCUCGCGCCAAGGCCCAGGUAAGUGUUUAAUUUAUUUUGUAUUUUCUCUUUUAAACUCCCCCCCCCCAACCCAACCCAAUUACAAUAACCCUAGCUUUAACAUCAAACACACACAUACGCAUUAACAUAAUCUCACUUAACUACCUCGCCACUCUCUCAACCACCAGGUAUAGUCUUAUAUCUCUCCUCCUUUCUUUCUUUUUCUAUGUAAAUUAUAGCGUUGGGUGAUAUGCUCUACAAGGUACAGCAAUGGUGCAAUUGUGCUAAAAUAAUUUCCAAGCCCAAUUACCCCAUAUGUUAUCUUUUGAUUGUUGUAAUGAGUGUUUCACACUCGAUUUCCAAGACAAUUUGGGAGGUUGGAGAAUUCCUUCACAAUAAAGAAACUCACACACAAAUAAUGCUGUCAUGAACCAAAAUCUAGCCUGUCAUGAUGGCGCCAAACGUGGUACUAAGUAAGCCCACACUUCAAAAUAUUUCAAACACCUUGAACAGAAAAUGAGUUAAAGUAGUUUAAAUAAUAAAAGUUCUCAUAAAUAGGAUAGAAAACCCAAAACUCAAUGCGGAAGUUCCCCAAAAAUCGGGGUGUCACAGAGUACAUGAGCGUCUAUACAACACAAGUACGCUCAAGCUGUGCAAGAAAUCAACACCCACUGUGUCCAUAAACACCUGGAUCUGCACACGAAAGGUAGGGUGUAGCGUAUGUACAACCAACUCAAUAAGUAACAAGACUAAAUAAUGGGCUGAAAGUAGUGACGAGCUUCAUGGAUAUAGUUCAAUUAUAGAAAUUACAACAUGGGAAGAUAGGCAUGCUUUGAAGUUUGGCACUUAAGGCCAAAGCAGUUAAUUCAUGUCCAGUUCUGUUGAAAUAGGAUAUAAUAUCUUUUAGAAACUUCAUGACAGUGAUAUAUGCCAGUUGAAGUACAACAGUAAUGGAAUUAAAUGAAUAAUCUUAGAGCAACAGUCAUUCAGUCCUCCCAUACACUCCAACCUCACAGUCACUCAUUCCACUCAGUAGCUCGGCACUUCGCACUCACACUCAGUAGGUACAUGUGCUCACUGGGGGGGUGUGUAUAGACGAGGGAAGGGCUCCUUCAGCCCAAGCAUUAUAAAAAGAAUUUCAUGGCAUAAAUCAAUGAAACAUGUUGCAGCCCGAUCCCAUAAAUAUACUCACAAUCAAGUGCUCGGCCUCGCUUAGUCAUCAACAUCUCCAGUCUCUAAGGCUCUCAGUAAUCAUAAAAAUCAGCUCAAACAUAAAUGAUAUAAUGUAUCAACAAUGAACAAUAGAGACUGAGAUAUGAUAUGCAAGUAAAACUGAGACUGAGUACAAAACAACAGUUAGUGGAUAAUUUAACAUGUACACUACCUCUGAGAGACCCUACAAUACCAAUGCAUGGCCUAAACAUUAUUUCUAACAGGAUUUGUAGCUCAAUUUGUCAAUCACAUGAAGAAUUUACAGAUAACAACAGAUUAUUCAUCUAUACAGCUCCAUGGAAUGGACCAAAUCAAAAUUCCUACGAUACACGCCCACACGCCCGUCACCUAGCAUGUGUGUCACCUCAAAACCAAUCACAAGACACGUAGUAUGGGAUUUUAUACCAUCAGAACUAAAUUUAAAAUUGUUACUUACCUUAAGUCGUGCAAUCCUCUACUCCUAACACACCCCUGCCUCAUGAAACGGCCUCCAAAUGCCUCGAAUCUAGUCACAAAUAGUUAGAUUCAAUCAACAUGGGCUAAAAUAAUCAAUUCUAUAAGAAAAUACUAACUCUUAAUCAAAAGUCAAAAGGUCAAUUCAAGAGUUUCCCCCCCCCCACCCACCCGGCACAUGUCUCAAAAUCUGAUAAAAGUCACAAAACCGAAAGGCCAUUUAACAACGAGUCCAAGCAUACCAAAUUUACCAAAAUCCAACACCAUAUUGCCACUCAAAUCUCCCAAUCAAACUCUCUAAAUCCCUAGCCUCAAACUCCUAAUUUACACCUCAAAACCACACAAUCUAGGUGGAAAUAUCAAUGGGGAAACAAGAUUAUUGAAUAAAAAUGAGCACAGUGACUUACCUCAAGAAUCCCCUCGGAAAUAUUCUAAAGUCGCCCAAUCCUGAGCUUGAAAUGUUAAAAAUGGUAAAAAAACAACAUGGAACCCUCAUUUUUAAUACACUACCAUGUUUUCUCGCACCUGCGGCCACUUAUCCGCUUCUGCGGUAUCGCAGAAGCGACCACUCUUCUGCUUCUGCGGUUUCCUCCACUUUUGUGGCCCAUGCUUCGGCUCCUGCGACCACCAAGCCACUUCUAUGGACCCAGCUCUCAUCUCCAUUUCUGCUUCUGUGCUCCCAUCGUCGCACCUGCGGCCACACAGGUGCGGUAAUUCCUUCGCACCUACGGCUACACAGGUGCGGUAAUUCCCUCGCACCUGCUACCACUUCACACUCCCGUCCAAAAUCGCAUCUGUGCAACACAGCCUGCACAUGCGAGAUCGAACAUGCGAUCAAAGCUCUACUGGUGCGAUUACACCAGUAGACUCCGAGCUUCAACAAUGCACUAAGUCUUAUUUUUUAUCUAUUAACCUUCUGAAAUCAACCCGAGGCCCCCGAGACCUCAACUAAACAUACCAACAAGUCCUAAAACACGAUACGAACUUAGUCAAACCCUCAAAUCAAAUCAAAUAACGUCAAAAACAUGAAUCGCACCCCAAUUCAAACCUAUAGAAACUAAGGAAAUUCCAAAUUCUACAAAUGAUGCUGAAACCUAUCAAAUCAUGUCUGAUUGACCCCAAAUUUUGCACAUGUCGCCAACGACACCACGGACCUACUACAACUCCCGAAACUCCAAUCUAAGCUCGGUAUCUACAAAGUCCACUCUUGUUCAAACUUUCAAAUUCCACAUUUUGUCAUUUUAAGCCUAAUUCCACUAUGGACUUCCAAAUCAUAAUCCGGACAUGCUCCUAAGUCCAAGAUCACUCAACAGAGCUAACGUAACCAUCAAAACUCCAUUCAGGAGUCGGUUACACAUAAGUUAACAUCUGGUCAACCACUUCAAAUUAAGCUUUCAACCUUGAGACUAAAUGUCUCAAUUCAUUCCAAAAUAUCUCCGGACCCACACCAACUGCCCCGACAAGUCACAUAGAAGCUAUAAAGCAUAAAAUGAGCAGUAAAUGGGGAAACAGGGCUAUAACUCUCGAAAUGACUGGCCGGGUCAUUACAUCCUCCCCCUCUUAAACAAACUUUCAUCCUUGAAUGGGUCUAGAAACAUACCUGGAGUCUCAAAUAGGUGUGGAUAUCAGCUCCGCACCUCCUGCUCGUUCUUCCAAGUAGCCUCCUUAACUCGCCGACCUCUUCACUGCACUUUCACUGAAGCUAUAUCCUUUGACCUCAACUUUCUAACCCGACGACCCAAAAUGGCCACCGGCUCCACAUCGUAAGUCAAAUCACCAUCUAACCGAACCGUGCUAAAAUCCAAAACAUAAUACGGAUCACCAACAUACUUCUGGAUCAUAUAAAUAUGAAAUACUGGAUGCACACUCGACAGACUAGGUGGCUAGGCAAGCUUGUAAGCCACCUACUCAAUCCAUUGAAGCACCUCAAACGGCCCAAUAUACCGAGGGCUCAACUUGCCCUUCUUCCAGAACUUCAUAACACCCUUUAUGGGUAAAACCUUGAGCAGUACCUUCUCGCCAACCAUGUAAGAAACAUCAUGAACCUUCCUAUUGGUGUAACUCUUCUGCCAAGAUUGCGCCAUGCAAAGCCGAUCCUAAAUCAAUUUAACCUUAUUCAAAGCAUCUUGAAUCAAGUCAGUACCCAAUAGCCUAGCCUCACCCGGCCCAAACCAACCCACCGUAGAUCAACACUGUCUCCCAUACAAAGCCUCAUAUAUAGCCAUCUGAAUGCUUGAUUGGUAGCUGUUGUUGUAGAUAAACUCCAUGAGCGGCAGAAACUGAUCCCAUAAACCCCCAAAAUCAAUGACAAAAAUGCCUAGCAUGUCCUCUAAUAUCUGAAUAGUGCGCUCAAACUAUCUGUCCGUCUGAGGGUGAAAUGUAGUGCUCAACUCAACCUGGGUGUCCAACUCUCGUUGCAUUGCUCUCCGAAACUACGAGGUAAACUGUAUGCCCCGGUCUAAAAUGAUGAACACUGGCACACCGCGAAGGCAAACAAUCUCGUGGAUGUAAGUCUCAGCCAACCACUCCAAAUAAUAAGUAAUACCAAUUGGAAUGAAGUGUGCGGACUUCGUCAGCCGAUCCACAAUCACCCAAAUAACAUCUCACUUCCUCGAAGUCCGUGGGAGCCCAACUAUAAAAUCCAUGGUAAUCUGCUCCCAUUUCUAUUGUGGAAUCUCAAGCCUCUAAAGCAAUAUACCCUGUCUUUGAUGCUCAUACUUCACCUGCUGAUAGUUUAGGCACCGAGCUACAAACCCCACUGUAUCCUUCUUCAUUCUUCUCCACCAAUAGUGUUGCCUCAAGUCCUGGUACAUCUUCGUGGCCCCCGGAUGGAUGGAAUACUGUGAACUGUAGGUUUGCUCAAGAAUCAACUCACAUAAUCCAUCUACAUUGGGCACACAUAUCCGGCCUUGCAUCCUCAAUAAGCCAUCAUCCCCAAUAUUAACAUCUCUAGCAUCACCAUGCUGAACCUUGUCCUAAAGGACAAGAAAAUGAGGAUCAUCAUAUUGGCUCUCUCUGAUGUGAACAUAUAAGUAAGACCAAGAAACCACACAAGUUAAAACCCGACUAGGCUCCGAAACAUUUAAUCUCAUGAACUGGUAGGCCAAGGCCUGAACAUCAACUGCAAGAUGUCUCUUACCAACAUGAAUGAAUUUAAGGCUAUCCAUACUCACGGCCUUUCUACUCAAGGCAUCGGCCACCACAUUGGCCUUUCCAGGGAUGAUACAGAAUCGUAAUAUCAUGGUCUUUUAGCAGCUCCAACCAUCUACAUUGUCUUAAAUUUAGAUCGUUUUGUUUGGAAAAGUGAUGGAGACUCUGAUGAUCUAUAAAUACCUCACAAGACACAUCAUGGAGAUAAUGCCUCCAAAUCUUCAAUGCAUGAACGAUGGUAGCGAACUCCAAAUCAUAAACAGGGUAGUUCUUCUCAUGGGGCUUCAACUAGCGUUAAGCACAAACAAUCACUCUACCUUCCUGCAUCAACACAUACCAAAUAUCAAUCGGAGAAGCAUCACAAUACACUUUAUAAGAGCCUGAAGCUGAAGGCAAAACUAGAAUUGGAGUCGUGGUCAAGGUAGUCUCGAGCUUCUGAAAGCUCUCCUCACACUCAUCCAACCACCUAAAAAGAGCACCAUUUUAGGUCAAUUUGGUCAAAGGAGAUGCAAUAGAUGAGAAACACUCCAUGAAGCGACAAUAAUAACCGGGCAAACCAAGAAAGCUCCAAAUCUCUGUAGCUGGGGACGAUCUGGGCCAACUCGAAACCGCCUCUAUCUUCUUUGGAUCUACCGGAAUCCCCUUACUAUACACCAUGUUCCCUAAGAAUGCCACUAAACUAAGCCAAAAAUCACAUUUGGAGAACUUGGCAUAAAACUUCUCCUCUUUCAACCAUUGCAACACAAUCCUCAAAUGCUAGGCAUGCUCCUCCUAUCUACCGAGAGUACACCAGGAUAUCAUCAAUGAAUACUAUGACAAACGAGCCGAGUAAUGCUGAAAUACAUUGUUCAUCAGAUACAUGAAUGUUGUUGGGGCAUUGGUCAGCCCAAAAGACAUCACAAAGAACUCAUAAUGACCAUAACGGUUCCUAAAUAUUGUCUUUAGGAUAUACAAGUCCUGAAUCUUUAAAUGGUGAUACCUAGACCUCAAAUCAAUCUUAGAGAACACCCUCGCUCCCUGAAGCUGGUCAAAUAGAUAAUCAAUACGCGGCAAAGGAUACUUGUUCUUGAUUGUAACUUUGUUCAACUACCUAUACUCGAUGCAUAUCUGCAUCGUACCAUAGUUCUUCUUCACAAACAGAACUGGGGCACCCGAAGACAAUACAUUAGGCCUAAUAAACCACUCAUCAAGAAGUUCUUGAAGUUUCUCUUUCAUUUCCUUCAACUAAACUGGUGUCAUACGAUACGGAGGAAUAGAAAUGGGCUGGGUGCCCCGCACCAAGCCAAUACCAAAGUCAAUAUCCCUGUCGUGCGGCAUGCCCGGCAGCUCUGCAGGAAACACAUCCAGGAAAUAUCGCACCACCAGAACAGACUCAAUAGUAUGAGUAUCAGCACCAACAUCCCUCACAAAGGCCAAAUAAUACAGACAUCCCUUCCCAAUCAUCUUUUGGGCCUUCAAAUAUGAAACUACUCUACUAGGAAUAUAAUCUAGAGAACCUCUCGACUCGAUCCUUAGCAACUCUAACAUUGCCAACGUCACGGUCUUAGCGUGAUAAUCCAGCAUAGCAUGACAUGGAGACAACUAAUCCAUACCCAAGAUCACGUCGAAAUCAACCAUACUAAGCAACAAGAGAUCAACUCUAGUCUCCAAUCCCCCAAUAGUCACUACACCUGACCGAUAUACACGGUCCAUAAUAAUAGUAUCGCCUAGUGGCGUAGAUACAAAAAGAGAUGAAACUAAGGACUCUUGAGGUAUAUCUAGAUAAUGAGCAAAAUACGAUAAUACAUACAAAUAAGUGGAACCAGGGUUAAAUAAUACAGAAGCAUCCAUGUGACAUAUUGAGACAAUACCUAUGAUCACUGCAUUUGAAGCAACAAUAUUUGUCCUGGCAGGAAUAGCAUAGAAUCAGGCCUGACCUCCACCUGAUCGGCAUCCCCCUCUCGCGCUACCUCUAGCUGACUAGGCCCUACCCCGAGCUGGCUAGGCAGGUGGUGAAAUAAUUGGUACAGAAGUCGCAGCCUGACUCCUCUGCUGCACUAGACCACCCGAGCGACGAGGACACUGCCUCCACAUAUACCAAACUCCUUGCACCCGAAGAAAAUCCCCAAUGCUGGUGGUGGGGAUAGAAAAGAGCCCCGAGCAUCGGGAUAACUAUUAGAAGGACCAAACAUAGAUGAACCCUAAACCAAUGUAGCACAAGACAAAUUUUGAGCUGGAAAGGCACUAAAAGAUGACUGACCCUAAUGAGCACUGUAUGAACCAUGGUUGGAUGGUGCACCAUGGUGAACAGGACGAACCAUUUGAGCAUACGUAUAAGGACGACCCCUGUUGUGGUAGAAUUGACCCCCAGAAGGAACACCACUGAAACCACCCAAUCCAUGAGGCUUCUUGGCCUCCCUCUCCCCACGCUCCUAGCUAUGGACCAUCUUUAUCUGCCGAGCAAUAUCAACCACUUCGUCGAAAGUAGCACCAAAUACCAUCUCCUGAGUCAUAAGCAACUACAUCUGAUAUGUCAUACCAUCAAUGAACCUCCUAAUCCUCUCCCUAUCAGCGUGAACCAACCAAACUACGUGACGAGCCAACUUUGAAAACCUCCUAUCGUACUGAGUCACAGACAUGCCCUCUUGACGUAUCUUCUCAAACUAUUUUUGCGCAGCUCCUCCCUGCGAGACUGCUGCAUGAACUUCUCCAAGAAGAUUACGUAGAACUCCUGCCAUGAAAGUGGUGUUGCACCGACUAGCUUGCGCCUCUCAUAAGCCUCCCACCAUUUGAAGGAAGCUAUAGUAAACUGAAAAGUAGGGAAUGAGACCCCACUAGUCUCUAGAAUACUUGCCAUGCGAAGUAUUCACUGGCACUAAUCUAAGAAGCCUUGGGAACCUCUAACUCAGCCCCGCUAAAUGAUGGAGGCUGAAGCCUCCCAAAUCUCUCGAGUCUCCUCUACUCAUCAUCAGUCAUAAUGGGAACCACGUAGGCCUGAAUAGCUACAACUGGCUGAGCUGGUCGUCCCCCCAGCAUCUGAAGUACCUGCAUCACCUGCUCUAGAGUACAAGCAAUAAGAGUUUGAGUACUUCUCCAGGCCUAAGAAGUGGUUGUUGCGGCCGGAACUGAGACCGUCUGAGCAAGGCCAGUGCACACAUUCAAAAUCUCAGCCAAAGCCUCCUGAAGGCCUGGAAUCACAAUAGGCACAGAAGGUGCCUGAGCUUGCCCUACUGGCCCAUCCACAUUUGGAACUUGCUCCUGAGCUGGGGCAACUGGCGGAUCUGUAGGUGUUGCUCCAACUGUUGUACAAGUUGCACUUUGGGCCCUACCACGACCUCAGCCUCUCGCGGCCCUAGUUGUUGUUACUAGUGGUUGUUCGUCCUGUCCAAUAGCAUGUGUCCUCACCAUCUGUGAGAGAAUAGGAUAACCAAAGUUUAGUUACCGAAACCAACAAAUCCGCACUACAAGAAUACAAGAAUGUGAAGUUUUCGAAGUGUUGGGCAGCCUCUCGAAAAUUAGUACAAACAUCUCCGUACUGAUCCGUAAGACUCUACUAAACCUACCCAUGACUCGUGAGACCUACGUAACCUAGGCUCUGAUACCAACUUGUCACACACCAAAACCUAACCAGUUGUAACGGCGCCUAACGUGGUACUAGGCAAGCCGACACUUCCAAAUAUUUCUAAUACUUUGAACAAAAAAUGAGUUAAAGUAGUUUAAAUAAUAAAAUUUCUCAUAAAUAGGAUAGAAAACACAAUACUCAAUACAGAAGUUCCCCAAAGAAUUGGGGUAUCAUAGAGUACAUGAGCGUCUAUACAACAAAAGUACAAAAAUACUGUCUCUGAAGACUAAAACUAAUAACAUAAGAAGCUGAAAGAUAUGGAAAGAAAGACAAGGUCUACGAACACCAGGAAGCUACCUUGGAAUGUCCAAACAAUCAAGGUGUGCAAGAAUCAACACCCACCGUGUCCAAAAACACCUGGAUGCACAUGAAGUGCAGGGUAUAACGUGAGUACAACCAACUCAGUAAGUAACAAGACUAAAUAAUGGAUUGAAAGUAGUGAUGAGCUUCACGAAUAUAUUACAAUUAUAGAAAUUACAACACGGGAAGGUAGGCAUGCUUUCAAGUUCGACAAUUAAGGCCAAGUCAGUUAAUUCAUGUCAAGUUUAGUGGAAACAGGAUAAUAAUGUCUUUUACAAUUGUCAUGACAAUGAUAUAUGCUAGCUGGAGUACAACAGUAAUUGAAUCAACUGCAUAAUCUCAAAGCAACAAUGACUCAGUCCUCCCAUACACUUCAAACUUACAGUCACUCAUUCCUCUUAGUCGCUCGGCACUCGACUCGCACUCAGUAGGUACAAGCGCUCACUGGGAGUAUGUACAGACUCGGGAGGGGAUUAUUCAGCCCAAGCUCUAUAACAAGCCUUUCAUAGCAUAAAUCAAUGAAAUAUGUUGCAGCGUGCAACCCAAUCCCAUAAAUAUCCUCAAAAUCAGGCCCUGGGCCUCACUCAGUCAUCAACCUCUCCAGUCUCUCAGGCUCUUAGUAAUCACAAAAAUCGGCUCAAACAGAAAUUAUAUAUUAUGUCAACAAAGAACAAUAGAGACUGAGAUAUGAUAUGCAAAUAAAACUAAUACUGAGUACAAAACAAUAAUUAGUAGAUAAUUUAACAUAUAUACGACCUAUGAGAGUCCCUACAGUAACAACACAUGGACUAAACAUGAUUUCUAACAGGAUUUGCAGCUCAAUUUCUAUAACACAUGAAGAAUUUACGGUUAACAACAACUUAUUCAUCUAUACAGUUCAAUGGAAUGGACCAAGUCAAAAUUCCUACGGUACAUGCCCACACGCCCGUCACCUAGUAUAUGCGUCACCUCAACACCAAUCACUAGACACGUUGUACGGGGUUUCAUACCCUCAUAACCAACUUUAGAAUUGUUACUUACUUUAAGCCUUGCAAUCCUCUACUCCAACACACCCUUGCCUCAUGAAACAACCUCUGAAUGCCUCGAAUCUAGUCACAAAUAGUUCGAUACAAUCAACAUAGGCUAAAAGAAUAAAUUCCAUAAGAAAAUACUAAAUCUUAAUCAAAAUUCAAAACAUCAACUCAAUAGCCGACCCUCAGGCCCACGUCUCCAAAUCUAAUAAAAGUCACAAAACUCGAAAGCCCAUUCAAAUAUAGGUCUAACCAUACCAAAUUUACCAAAAUUUGACGCCAAAUCACCGCUAAAAUCCCCAAAUCCCUUGCCUCAAACUACCAAUUUACAUCUCAAAACCACACAAUCUAGGUGGGAAAAUCAACGGGGAAACAAUAUUAUUUAAUAAAAAUGAGCACAAGUGACUAACCUCAUGAAUCCCCUCGAAAAUAUUCUCAAAAGUCGCCCAAUCCCGAGCUUGAAAUGUUAAAAAUGGUGAAAAACACAGAACCCUCAUUUUUAAUACACUGCCCAAGUCUUCUCGCACCUGCGACCACUUACCCUCUUCCGCGAUGUAGCAAAAGCGAUAACUCUUCUGCUUCUACGGAGUCGCUUAUGUGAGCCACCAACCCGCUUCUGUUGAUCCAGCUCCCAUCUCCAUUUCUGCCUCUAUGGUCCCUUCGCCGCACCUGUGACCACUACACACUUCCCUCCAAAAUUGCAUUUGCAUAACAUAGCCCGCACCUGUGAGCUCGCACCUUCUAUCAAAGCUCUGAAUGUGUGAUUACACCAGCAGACUCCAAGCUUCAGCAAUGCACUAAGUCUCAUUUUCGAUUUGUUAACCAUCCGAAAUCAUACCGAGGCCCCCAGGACCUCAACUAACCAUACCAACAAGUCCUAAAUAUGAUACGAACUUAUUCAAGCCCUCAAAUUACAUCAAACAACAUCAAAAUCACGAAUCGCACCCCAAUUCAAGCCUAUUGAAACUAAGGAAAUUCCAACUCCUAAAAGCGAUGCUGAAACCUAUCAAAUUACGUCUGAUUGACAAUAAAUUUUGCACACAAGUCGCAAAUGACACCGCGGGCCUACUCCAACUCCCAAAACUCCAAUCUGAGCCUGGUAUCCCCAAAGUCCAUUCUCGGUCAAACUUCCCAAUUCCACAUUUCGCCAUUUUAAGCCUAAUUCCACUAUAGAUAUCCAAAUCACAAUCCAGACAUGCUCUUAAGUCCAAGAUCACCCAACAGAGCUAAGGGAACUAUCAAAACUCCAUUUCGAAGUUGUUUACACAUAAUUUAAUAUCCGUUCAAUCAUUUCAACUUAAGCUUUCAACCUUGAGACUAAGUGUCUCAAUUCAUUCCAAAAUCUCUCCGAACCCGAACCAACUACCCCGAAAAGUCACAUAGCAAUUAUAAAGCAUAUAAUUAGUAGUAAAUAGAGGAACAUGGCUGCAACUCUCGAAACAACUGGUCGGGUCGAUACAUAUGCAUACAAAGUGUUCGAUAAAAUUCCUCAUUGGUGAUAUUAGUCCCAAUUAUAGCCCGAGUCUCUAGGAUUAAUUGUUUUAUGUUAGGUAAGCAUGAUUGAUAUGAAAAACUAAGUGUGGGGUGACUCUAUGAAUGAUAAAGUGAGUUGGCAAUGACAUAUGAGCUAUAUAUAGUGCCAAAAUUGAGAUGCUAAUACACUUACUUGAUAAAGGCGAAGCCGGAGUAGCCUAUUUUUUAAAGUAAUUAGCAUAUCUUAGAGCUUUAAGUGUGGGGUCACUCCUACCUUAUUUUUGUGAUAGUUGUUGUUUGCUUACAUUGACAAUUGGUAUGAUUGACAGGUACGUGCAAUAUGGUUCCUCCAAUAGCUAGUUCUAAGCCACCAGCUAAGGCCAAGGCUCCGCCAAAGGAAAAGGCUACCUCUUCAGGUCCACCACCAAAUAAAAGGACCAGAGCUGGGGCUACGUCUGGUAGUCACAGUGGUAAAGGAAAGCAAGUAACUUCUUCUUCUACCGGGGCACAACCUCAAGAGAGAGUGACUCUUGAGUAUGGCAUCAAAAGUGUGCCCCCAUCUGGGAGAGCAUUUUACAGUAAUUGUCGCCCAAACUCAUAUCUCCCUGAUUUUGCAGUUAAUGAGCACAAAUUGAUGUCCCGUUACCCUCAGAUUUGGGAAAGAAUACAUGAACUAGGACUGGGUUUUGUAUUUAAAAAUCAGGGAGAGGCAAACUUUAGCUUAGUGCGUGAGUUCUAUUCCGGGUGGAACCUUGAGCAAUUGGUACUUAUUCGUGGGAGGUUGAUUGAUAUUUCGGCUAGUGCACUAUGUAGAUUUUUGGAUGCCCCUAAUGUCCCAUGUAGUCCGUUGUGUGACUUUAUUUAUUGGCCUGCUUACAGAGAUAUUAGGCAUAAAUUGUGUGGUGUUAAUUCGAAUGCAGUAUGGACACAGGACAAAAGUACAACACCCGUACUUCUUUGCCUAAAGUGAAGUUUACAAAAAAUACUAAAGUGUGGUUGCGUUUGAUGAAUACGAGACUACUUCCAUGUGAUCAUGAUUCUGCUGUUGUCCGAGAGAGAGUAUGUAUAGUGUAUUUCUUGAUGAAAGGGUGGCCAAUGAAUGUGGGCUAGUUGAUACGCAGUCAGAUGGCACAAUCUAAAAAGGGCACGCUUACUAGGAUAAUCUUUAUGAAUCUGCUUGCACAAUAUUUGAGUAAAUAGCAAGUGGAUGAGGGGGCCAAGUUUGACAUGUUGAUUCCAGCCACAUCUCGAGCUACCGACAUUACUGUUAUCUGUGGGCCAAAUGAGGAAGAUGGUACGACAUUGACUACAAUGGAGCGUCAGGCUCGCGAUGAGAGCGUCCUGGCUUAUUUGUAUGGGAUGAUGGAUUUGCAGUUGAGGAUUGGGGGUAGACCUGUUACUUCAGAGGAGAGGACUCAGUUGACUGAGCGGUUCCCGAUCACCACACUGGCACAACGAUUAGUUGGUUUAGCUUCGGGUCAGGGGGUGCCACCAAAAGAAGAUAUCAAUACUCCAGAGUAUUCGGUACAAGGUGACGAGGAACAGGUUGAGCCAGCGGUCGAUGCCACUAUUGUGGAUCUGGGUGAUGAUGUUGAUGAUUGGGAUGAAGCUAACCAGGCCUUCUUCAAUGAGGGCCAUCGUCUUGAGGAUUGAUUAGGGAGUUCUUAUUCGCCCUUUCUACUUUAAUUAUGCAUUGGGGACACUGUAUAUUUUAAGUGUGAGGUGGGUAACUCUUAUUGUCACACCCCUUUAUAACCAACUAGCCAACCCCCUUAAAUUAAUAAAGAGAUUUCACAAAGCUCGAAAGGGUUUUUAAUUAAAAAGUGACAAAAAUUGUGUUCAAAAAGAAAUAACUCAAAGUCGCCACCUGACAUUGGUUUUGGUGUGCCAGGUCAUUGUUUUUUAAAAAUGAUUUUCCUUUUAAAAUACUUUGGACUCCAAAAUAAGUCCGCACUAUAGAUUCGGGUAAGGGGGUUCAUUUGACUCGGGAAGAAGGUGUUAGACACUCCCCAAGAUCCGUAACUAGUACGGUUGCGCACAUGAUCAAGUUAGCUUUAAAGGAUAUUCUAUUUGAGGCAGACACAAAAAUAAAAUAAACACACAAGAGGCUAGAGGUCGUCCCACCUAAAAAAAGAGAUAAAAAAAUAAAAUAGUAAAGUUCUAUUCUAUGCUUCCUCACAUCAUCCAAUCUCCGUCCUUCAUUUACAUGUACCUCGGGGCAUACCCCGGAUAAUAAAAUAUAUACAAAUCCUUUGGGCAUUCCCCGGAUAAAUUAGGGGCAACCUCUUACCUCAAAACCAAAAUUAAAAAAAAUCUUAAGGCUUACCUACCGAAACGUGGUCGGCCUAAACAUGCAUACGUCUAUCGGGGAUGUGAAAAAAGGUAAAUAAAAUAAUAACAUGAUAACCCCAAGCUUAUCUUCAAUUUUGGUGCCAAACCACAUUUGUUUUGCUUUUGCCCAACCCAUGCCAUCUAUGUUUCUAAUCAAAUUUCUUUCAUGAAGCUAUGCCAAUUUUUCAUUGUACAGUGAUGUUCAAAACACUCCAAAAACACAAAUGUUUCCAUUAGUAACCAAAUGAUAACAAAUUCAUUUUUUAACUUCCAAUUUAAUUCCCCGACAUCAACUCACAAAUAAAUCAUAUAGUCCGCAUAGCUUUUCAGAUCCAAUUUAGUCACUAGGUCAUAUCACAUUAUUAAGGAUUUAGCGAAUUGGGAAAUUAUGGAUCAAAAAGAAGUUCAGCAACCAAACCAAACCAAAUGAAGCGGAUUACAAAUAGAGAACAAACAAACAGUAUUCAUUUCAAUUAAUCAUCAAAAAAGGCCAAUUAAAGUAAGAAUUGAAAGCAAGCACAUAACACUCAAGUGAGGUAGAUCUAGAUCAAGUGAAGAGCAAGGAAAGGAUGGGCCUCAAUUAAAGUAAAAACUUCUCCAAUUUUAAUUAGAAUUUCCAGCAAGACGAACAGCAAAUGAUCCGCUCCAAUUGUUAGAGCAGCAGUGAACUCGAAUUAAACUACGACUGAACCGCGGCCGGACCUCGGAUCCGUAACCUCGAGCGAAAACGCACUGCCUUGAUUGAUUUGGAAUCGAGUCUUUCCCUCUAUUUUGAUCAGAACUCAAAAAUAUAGCAAAGGGUAGAGAAAACUGGAAUAAGAAAAUGGAAAGAGGCUUUGAAAAUUAAAACGUGUGUUUGAGAGUGAAUAGCAUUAAAUUGAAGCCCAAAGACCACUUUCACUUUAUUUUUUCUUUUCAAGCUUCCACUUAGUACUCCCUGACAUUGUUGUAUAUCCAAUCUAGCAUAAGACACAAACCAUGAUUUCCCCUUGAGAACCUUUAGAAAGAGGAGAAGGAAGUGAUAAAACAAAACAACUAUAUUAGUAUUUUCCAAUUUCUUGAAAGGUAAUAUAAACUAAAAGCAACUAAACAAAGUACCUAUUAGCUAAAAUGGAGGAAAAUAUUUUUGUAGUUUUUAUUUUACGAGAAAAUAGAGCUAAAAGGUUAACUAUAUGCAAAGUAUCAAUAUUAGAACUAAAAGAAAUAUAUAAGCAUCAAAAAGGUGUAAACUUUGGGGAGGGUCAAAAAUUACAUGUCUACACUCAUUGUGCAUAGUAGGAAUAGAUUAGUAAACAUAUUAGCUUCUUAUAUUUUUAAUUUCUAGCUUCUUAUUUUCGUUAUUUUUAGCUUCUUCCUUUAUUAUUUGAGGAUACUCCGGGAUAGUAUUGAGUACUGUAGUAGUUUUUAUUUUUUUAUUUUAUUUUAUUUUCGAAAAAAUAGAAAAAUAGAAAAACAGAAAAAAUGGACUUUUCCCGACGAUGGAUCUCCUAGACAGUUAUCUUGAGGGAUUAAAGUCUAAAAAAACAAAAUACAAAAAAAUUUCAAAAUAGAAAAAUACAAAAACAUGUCUUUUUUUUGUAUCAUUCUUAGAUUGUAAUAAUCCCCUGUGGUUUUUUUCGUGCCUCGGUUCUUUUCCACGGGAUAUAACUUGAACCGGGUAGUAGUUUUUUGUUUUAGAGUAGUAUGUAGGAAAUAAAAGAGAAGAACUGAUAUAAUUCGCACCUUUUGACUUGUUUGACGGUUGCAUACUUAGGUUUUGGCAUGUGUUUCGCCUUCACUUGAUUUUAAAUAUAUGAUGAAGCAUUGGUAAAAAGGAAUAGCAUGUGUUAUGACUCUUAUGUCUCAUUUGCUUGACUUGUGUUCACUUUUUACUUUAUGCUUAAUAUAUCUCUUGGCGUUGUGAAUACUUGUUUGAUUGAGAGCCUGAAUGAAACCGUCCUUAGGGAGUUGUUCCUGUAUUGGAUGUUUUAAAAUUUGGCAUAAGUAUGAGAAUUGUAUUUUGACAGCAUAUGCUAUAGCUUAAUUGUUGCUACCACACAUGGGCAUAGGUGUAGUGUGUUGUAAAUGUGUUGCUUGUUGGGUCCUUGAAAAGGAAGUGUUUAGUUAGUUGACUCGAGGGCGAGCAACAUUUAAGUGUGGGGUGUUGAUGUCGUGCGAUAAUUCCAUAUAUUCUAACGUCAUUUACCCUACUUGUUUGUUGUUUGGAUGGUAAUUUGUGCGACAACUAUGCUUAAUAGAGUUUAUUUCACGUGUAGGAAUGCUUGGACAUGAAUUGGAGAAAAGUUGCACGAAAUGGUACUUCAUAGCUACAAAAUGGAGCAAUAAAAAAAGACGUGCAAGGCAAUGAAAAGUCAUGGCCAUAUACAGUGCAAGGCAUUAUCCAGGGCAUUAUCAUGGGCGCCCCAGACAGUGUCUCACGUAGAAACAAGGGCGCCAUAGACACUACCUCGCGCAGAAAUAUUGGUGCCCCAGACAGUGCCUCACGUCGACGAUGCCAUCCGAGCAACUUUUAAUUCCUCACUAGUUUUUGACAUGUAAACUUUCCCCUACCUAUAAAUACAUCUUAAAGUUAGUUUUUGAAGGGAGAGACAUCAUUAGAGAGGCAAGAGGCUACAGAAUACUUUAGAAGCACGAAUCACUUGAGUUUUUCUCUCCGCUUUCCUUUUAUUUGUACUUUAAUGUUCUUAGAUAGUAUUAUAAUUAUCUACCCAAUUAUUAGUAGCUAAACCCG
rnacentral:lncRNA from 1 species